rnacentral:rRNA from 1 species
CUUCGGGCACAUUGGUGACAGGUGGUGCAUGGUUGUCGUCAGCUCGUGUCGUGAGAUGUUGGGUUAAGUCCCGCAACGAGCGCAACCCUUGUCUUUAGUUGCCAUCAUUAAGUUGGGCACUCUAGAGAGACUGCCAGGGAUAACCUGGAGGAAGGUGGGGAUGACGUCAAAUCAUCAUGCCCCUUAUGCUUAGGGCUACACACGUGCUACAAUGGGUAGUACAGAGGGUUGCCAAGCCGUAAGGUGGAGCUAAUCCCUUAAAGCUACUCUCAGUUCGGAUUGUAGGCUGAAACUCGCCUACAUGAAGCUGGAGUUACUAGUAAUCGCAGAUCAGAAUGCUGCGGUGAAUGCGUUCCCGGGUCUUGUACACACCGCCCGUCACACCACGGGAGUUGGAGACGCCCGAAGCCGAUUAUCUAACCUUUUGGAAGAAGUCGUCGAAGGUGGAAUCAAUAACUGGGGUGAAGUCGUAACAAGGUAGCCGUAUCGGAAGGUGCGGCUGGAUCACCUCCUUUCUAAGGA